ACAAACUUGAUCAUUUAGAGGAAGUAAAAGUCGUAACAAGGUUUCCGUAGGUGAACCUGCGGAAGGAUCAUUACAGAGUAACCUGGCCCUCUGUGGCCGGCUACCCGUCCUUUGUCAUGUGUUUUUUACAAACAUCAUUUCCCAGGAGGCGUUGUGCCGCGAGUCUCUUCUGCCGCCGUCUGACGGCGGUUUAGGGGGGUCCGCGGGGCGACCGCCUGGGGUCACUUUUUGCAAACUCUUGCGAGAACUAUGAAGUCUGAAGUACCAAAAGAAAAAAAAAGCAAAACUUUCAACAACGGAUCUCUUGGCUCUGGCAUCGAUGAAGAACGCAGC
rnacentral:misc_RNA from 1 species